UGUUCUUACCAUCAAGCUUUAUUUUAAGUCGAUUCACUCCAAUUUUUAAACUAACGAAGCUAAACGUGAUCUGCUGAAUAUAAAUUUGCUAUAUUACGUACUUGUAAGACGGAGACAACAUGUGCGGGUGAUGUUACGGCCUCUUAAAAUUAUAUUUUACUUACCUGACAUGAUAUAAAUUGGAAUUUCUCCUACACAACAUUGUACUGUUACUGAGAAACCUUGUAUAGUCUUGAUCCACGGUAAUCGUUCUUGAUGAUAAAUGUUUGCUAAGUCUUCAAUGUACCUAUUGAAAAAAAUAGAGAAAUAAAUAAAACCAAAUGUAUGCUGUGAAAAUGCCAGCAAACACAGCCCACACAAGGUGCACGUGACAACCAUAUAAUAUAACCCAAAUAAUCCAUUCCAAUAUGUAUUAACACGUUGAGUGCCACAGUAUUUAUGAUGUACAUGAUGUACAUAAUCAUUCUUGAAACUACACGAACUUGAAGAAGUAAAAUCAAAAUUUAAAUCAGAAGACAUUUCAAGUAUUACUUUUCAAUACAGCCAACACUGGCCAAACAGUAUCACAAUUAUUUACAAGUGGCAUUAAAAAACUUGUUUUUACAAACUUAUAUGUGGUACAAACACUAACCACAAUGAUGUUGAAUGUUGAUAUAUAACUUUUGUUUUAUCUAUACAUAAUUAUUGAAGUAUAUUGAUUACAGUAUUGACGUAUCUUUAAAUUUUCGUAUGAUUCACAGGUAUUUUGUUUAACUUACGUUUAGCUGAAAUGCAACAAUAAAAUGACAGAUAAGGAAUAUCAUAGCGAUCAAAUACGCUGGUAAGUAGUUUUUGUGUUCUGCGUCAAUGCUGUACCAAUCCACACACGCGCCGACCAACAGUGUAGAAAUUCCCCAGCCAACCGCUCCCCAGACCCGUUGUCUUCCAUAACUCUUUUUGUCGUCACCUGGGAUGUGUUGAUAUUUUAAGUGUGUAUACCCAACAUUUCCAAACAGAUCGUAUCUUGAAGAACAUCUCCCACCAUCCAAAGCAACAUCCUCGCUGUAAUGGUGGUAAAAAAAAUCCAAAAUUUCCAGUGCGUCAUGAUGUCCAAGUUUUCGGCAUAU
rnacentral:lncRNA from 1 species